rnacentral:rRNA from 1 species
GACAGAAAGACCCUAUGAACCUUUACUGUAGCUUGGAAUUGAGUUCGGGUUUAUUAUGCGCAGUAUAGGUGGGAGGCUGUGACAACAUGUUUGAGGAUGUGUAAGAGCCAAUCGUGAGAUACCACUCUUAGUGAACUAGAAUUCUAAUUCUGAUUGCCAUAAUCUGGCCAGAAAACAUUUCCAGGUGGGCAGUUUGACUGGGGCGGUCGCCUCCUAAAAGGUAACGGAGGCGUACAAAGGUUUCCUCAGGCUGGUCGGAAAUCAGUCGUAGAGUGUAAAGGCAUAAGGAAGCUUGACUGCAAGACUUACAAGUCAAGCAGAGACGAAAGUCGGUCUUAGUGAUCCGACAGUACCGAGUGGAAGGGCUGUCGCUCAACGGAUAAAAGGUACUCUAGGGAUAACAGGCUGA